AUAGUACUUCACUCAAUCACUCUCAAUUCCACUCAUUCACUCAAUACAUAGAAUUAAACUUUUGUGUGUGUAGGAGUUGACAUGCAUGCCUUCAAUGUUGGUUGAAAAUAGAAGAUCCAAGAUCCUUCAACUAAAUCGGUGAUGAUUCUUAACCUCUCGCCUAUAGAAACGACUCUUUAAUUUAGUGCUUCACCUUUAAUCAUUCCUAAUCAUGUUUACACCUCUUUGAAUUCGGAAGUGAUGAGUCCUUUGGUCUCUGUUGAGAAUUCGAACCUUGGUUGCCCCCAAAAUUUGGUAUACUAGAGUCACACUUUGUAAGUGACAACUCUUUAAAUGGAUGAGUUUAACUGGAUGAUGUCACUUGGCACACUUCUGGCCUUUGGAUGCUAUUCUGGAUGGAUCUAUCAUUUUAACCUAAGGUUGCAUUUCUUUAUUCACUUCAUUCUGCUUUUCAUUUUUGACAGAGAAAAAUUACCCUCUGGCUAGGGGUCUUCAUUCCUGUGUAUGCUCUACACUAAAACAUCAUUCAAGGCACUAAAUCUUGCAAUCCUAGUGUUAUAAUUGUAAUAUGGGUGAUUUGUAUGAAGGGACUCUGAGUGAUUUUUAGUUGAGUAUGAAUUUAGUUUAGGGUUUGGUGAUUUUGAGAGAUCUUGAUGAUAAGUGACU
rnacentral:lncRNA from 1 species